UAUCCCUACGGAGGCAGCAGUGGGGAAUAUUGCACAAUGGGCGAAAGCCUGAUGCAGCAACGCCGCGUGAAGGAAGAAGGGUUUCGGCUCGUAAACUUCUAUCAACAGGGACGAAAGAAAUGACGGUACCUGAAUAAGAAGCCCCGGCUAACUACGUGCCAGCAGCCGCGGUAAUACGUAUGGGGCAAGCGUUAUCCGGAUUUACUGGGUGUAAAGGGAGCGUAGGCGGCAGGGCAAGCCUGAUG
rnacentral:rRNA from 1 species